rnacentral:lncRNA from 1 species
AUUGAUACUUUUUCUUACCAUUAAAUUUUGUAAAGUGCCUCCAUGCCCAUGGAUGCGGCCUAUUUGAUCUAAUAGUCCUCAUUGUUUAAUGAACUUGUUUGUGUGGCCAAUUCGGGUGAGCCACAUCAUUUUUUGUGUUUUCAAUCUUGUAAAGUUCAUUAUUAGUGAAUUUGUUUGCCUCCUUGUCCAUGGAUGUAGGCCCAUGGGGUGAAUCACAUAAAUCUUUA